GGCUUUGACUGUAUGUCUCACCCAAACCUUAGGAGUCGGGCUCUCUGUUCAACUGGUACCAGAAGCAACUCGUCCAUGAGCAAACCUAACCCCUCCAUAAGCUGGUUAAUUAUCAUCUCUGAUUUUUUUCUCCUCUGGAAGAGCACACAUGUACAGUCUGAGAUAAGAGCUGAUAUUUUUGCUUGUUGGGAAAUCCUUGAACCAAACUGGAAGAAGAGGAAAAGGCCUUUGUAUCCUUAAUCUUUCCGCACUGAGCUGGAUCUGUAUAGUUAAUAUGGAAAACUGUAACUGUGUAAUGAGAAGGGGUGUGGGCCAUGUGGGUGAGUGGAAUUCCUUACAGUACUUUCUUUUAGAUGUCUUAAUUUACUCUCUUUGUAUUUCGAUAGAUCCAGGUGUUUGGACAGAGCUGGUCUUGGUCCCCAGUCCCCUCUCUUCAUAUCUCUGAAACCACAGGUCUCUCCAGACUGAGCUGUGUCCAGGAAGUGACCAGGUUUCCCACCUCCUAUCACAUGCCUAUCUCCUAUCUGAAACACUUCCAGGAAGAUGGCA
rnacentral:lncRNA from 1 species